ACGGGGGGAGCAAACGUUGUUCGGAAUCACUGGGCGUAAAGGGCGCGCAGGCGGUCCGGUAAGUGAUCCGUGAAAGCCUCUGGCUCAACCAGAGAAACGCGUAUCAUACUGCCGGACUUGAGGACGGGAGAGGAAACGGGAAUUCUCGGUGUAGCGGUGAAAUGCACUGAUAUCGGGAAGAACACCAGUGGCGAAGGCGCGUUUCUGGCCCGUUCCUGACGCUCAGGCGCGAAAGCUGGGGGAGCAAACA
rnacentral:rRNA from 1 species